ensembl:lncRNA
GGGGGACAUGCAGGAGGAGCCAUGUGCCACACCUGGAAGGUAGGUCCGCAGGAGAAGGAAAGAGGGGCCCGGUGCACUGUGGUGCAGACGUCUGGACUAGGGGCUCCUCGAAUGCUCUCAAAAUAGCAUUGCACCAUCUCCAGGGCAUUUUAGCAGCUUUUUAUUUCUGGGGCAGUUUCCACCUCCACUCCAGCGCACACUCCAGCACUCACUUCCGCACAUGCACCGACAUUCAGGGUGGGAGGGUCAGCCUGUGGCCUUCAGUUGCUGAAAGCUUUUCUGCAGUUCAUAUCCUCUGGGGCCCUAGGAGAAAAAUCAAUCACGGUUUUGAAGAUGAGAGUUUUCAGUUUCCUUCUAAGGGUUUAUCGAUCAGCUCCUGUGUAGCAUGAGUUGGGUGGAUUUGCAUUAGGGGGUUUGGGGAAUUCCUGCAAGGCUCUUUCCCAUUCUGCUUGAAAACCAGCCUGUGUGUCACCAUGGUUUGGUUUAUUUUCAUACCGCUAGCUCCCUGUGUAUUUUGCUUUUAGUAUCUGGAAGAUGUAGCAAGUCUGGACCUUUAGAGCAGUCUCUGGAAUGUCAGAGUCACAUUCUGUAUAUUAUAAAUGAUUGGCAAUUAAGCAUACCUGUAUUCCAGGCCGUGGAUGCUUAAAUAGUUUACUGACAAAGGAACCCAUUUUGCACACAAGGCAGCAGAGGAGAUUCAGGCAAGGAAGACCUCAGAAUAAUCCACUCACUGUUAGUAUAUUACAGAGCAUCACAGACAGUGCACCAUCCCACCUACAUUAACUCAUUCUGCAGCAUUUUGCUUUCAAGAGCAUAUUCUGUGUGCUCAGGACUGGUAAGAGAAUUGAAUUUAUAAAUAGCAAUUGUUUCUCCAUUUGGUUGAUGUGAUUACCAAUGAUAAGUCUUGGCAUCCUGGUUCCUGUCUUGGCACUUAAUGACUUAUUUCUGUCCUGGGGCAUCCUUAUGAGAGUCUUAUUCCAGCAGGUAGGUUUUCUUGCCUGUCUUCUGGGAGGCAGCAUACCCCAUACACAGCUGCAGGAAAAUCUUCUCUGACCAUUGUAUCUGUCACCUUCUUCUCUUCCCUCUUCUUAGAGAGGCUUCUGAGGACUUCCCACGCUCCAAGCUGACGUUGCAGGGGACAAAAAGUUUUCCCUCCUUAUCUUCUAAAUUCUGCAGCUGGUCUUGUCGUUCAGUUACAUAGGAUAGGUUAACGAGAGAAAAACAAAUUGGAUUUCAUAUCUUUGGAAGUCCCACAGAGAUAUGAGACUUUGAAGCAGGCAGCCAGUCGUCAUGACUGUCUUGAUCUGAGCAAAGGAAUAGGGUUCAGGGGCUUCAGAAGGAGGGGGGGCUUUCACUGGAAGGUGGAAAAAACAAAUGUUUGGUGAAUAAAACUUACCUGCCAUGCAGAUAAGUCUCUCAGAAGAAAAAUCAUCUCCGGCAUAGGUCUUUUCCUGACACAGACCCCCUUCUAAUUGGUGGUGGUUAAAGGGCAGGUAAAAAGCUUUUUCUGAAUUUUCUGGGUCUUGACUGUAUUCAGCUCAAAAUAAUCUACAUGCCAAAGUGGCGUAUUCUCGGGUUGGUUUUCCUGAUUCCCCUCAGUAGCCCAGAAGCCGUAGCUUCAGUUAUUUUUUCUGCCUUUCCUCAGACCAUUCUGCCCCAGUCCCCCAAAUUCUGUCCUGCUUGUGUCCAUCAGUGGCUGGUCCUGGACACUGAUGGCCUCUCCCCAGGUCACGUCCACCUCCUCCUUCAGGUCACUCACACCUCAUCUCCUCCAGCCCACUCUGCUUUUACAUUCUCUACACUUCAGCUCAUCUAAAUUUAAUCAGGUCUCUCUCUCUCUCUUUUAAUACCUAACUGCUGUCGGGCUUUGCAAUUUUUCACAAGCUGCUUUUUGGGGUUAUGUCUUCUCUCCUCUUGAGGCAGGUGACAGGCCCCUUUCUCUGUUCCUGAUAUGUCUUCUACGAUCUUCCUUUUCUCCAUGAGUUUAGAUUUGUCUUUGACAAACUUUCUAUGACCCAGCGGCAGGCUUGAGUGAUUUCAAACCCAGGGGUUGUCAUGACUACAGUGAUGGGAAUAAUCAGAGGUUGCUGUUGGGGGAUUAUUGUGUUUUCGCACACUAGACUCAGCAGUUUGCGUGUAUCACCUCAUUUAAUCACCACAAUGAGAGCCCUUAGGACUCUGAGCAGGAAUGUUCUGAAGCCUGUUCUACAUGUGGAGAGACAGGCUUGGAGGAGUUUCAUAAGCUGCCCAAGCUCAUGCAUCUUCCUUGUUGGAGUUCCCGAGUGUUGCGUGGAAGGUAAGCAUGCUUCCUGUGCAAAUCUCCUUGCUGGCCUGUGUCAGCGUUUCCUUCUGGGCCAGCGGCCCUGUCAUCAGAGGACCCCAGCCACACUGCAGAGAGCCAGGCUCAGAGGCAUUUCAGACUUCUUCAUCACCAGAUGCUUGUACUUUUCUGCUGUGCUUCUCUCCCUUUGGGGGCUAUUCCCCUGUUUUGUUUGUUUGUUUGUUCUGCUUUGUUUGUUUUGCUUUUAGGUAUAGCAUACCUGCAGUGAAGUAAAAGCAGGCACAUUGAGUGUGCAGCUUGAUCACUUCCCACUUACCCAGAAGCUCUUAUCAUAAGGGGCCCAUUGAAGUGGAGCUAUGCUCGGCCCCACCCUCACACUAGUGGAAACAGCAGAUUGCAUGGCUUUUCCCAGAGCUCCUGCACCCCAGCUUCCAGGGUUAGUUCUUCCCUGCAGGGGCCACAGCAUAGAGCGCUCUCAUGGAGAACCUUUUCCACGAGGCUCUUUAAUAUCUACUCCCACAUCCUACAGACCCUGGCCAGAGCCUACCUGUGGUCUCCUCUUUUCUCACCUGGGAACCACAGCACCACAUUUCAGGGCCAAGGAGAGGAGGAGCUGUCCAUGGUAACCAAGCUGCCUGAGCUGAGGACUGGAUGUGAUCUCACCUCUGAUCUACAUUCCCACCUGUGUUCUCAGCAGAUGACCUCCUGUCUCACAUCUGGGGGUUUUCAAGAGGGCAUCCCCUUGGCUCUCCUCCCAGCAUCAACCCAGCUCUGCUCCUGCUUCAGGGCUGCUCCUUCUGGACCUCCCCACUCUCGCCCUCAAAGCCAGUUCGUCUCUCCCAGUGGGGUCCUUUCUCCAUCCCUAACCCAUGCCUACCCCACCUGUAGCUCUCGAUGGCCUCCUGCUGUGUCUGUGGCUCUGGUGUGGUUUCCUUUGUGUUUCUCAGCCAGGGC